AUUGAACGCUGGCGGCAUGCCUUACACAUGCAAGUCGAACGGUAACAGGUCUUCGGAUGCUGACGAGUGGCGAACGGGUGAGUAAUACAUCGGAACGUGCCCGAGAGUGGGGGAUAACGAGGCGAAAGCUUUGCUAAUACCGCAUACGAUCUCAGGAUGAAAGCAGGGGACCGCAAGGCCUUGCGCUCCCGGAGCGGCCGAUGGCAGAUUAGGUAGUUGGUGGGAUAAAAGCUUACCAAGCCGACGAUCUGUAGCUGGUCUGAGAGGACGACCAGCCACACUGGGACUGAGACACGGCCCAGACUCCUACGGGAGGCAGCAGUGGGGAAUUUUGGACAAUGGGCGCAAGCCUGAUCCAGCCAUGCCGCGUGCAGGAUGAAGGCCUUCGGGUUGUAAACUGCUUUUGUACGGAACGAAAAGACUCCUUCUAAUAAAGGGGGUCCACGACGGUACCGUAAGAAUAAGCACCGGCUAACUACGUGCCAGCCGCCGCCGUAAAAC
rnacentral:rRNA from 1 species